rnacentral:rRNA from 1 species
GAUGAACGCUGGCGGCGUGCCUAAUACAUGCAAGUCGAGCGAACAGAAGAGGAGCUUGCUCCUCUGACGUUAGCGGCGGACGGGUGAGUAACACGUGGAUAACCUACCUAUAAGACUGGGAUAACUUCGGGAAACCGGAGCUAAUACCGGAUAAUAUAUUGAACCGCAUGGUUCAAUAGUGAAAGACGGUUUUGCUGUCACUUAUAGAUGGAUCCGCGCCGCAUUAGCUAGUUGGUAAGGUAACGGCUUACCAAGGCAACGAUGCGUAGCCGACCUGAGAGGGUGAUCGGCCACACUGGAACUGAGACACGGUCCAGACUCCUACGGGAGGCAGCAGUAGGGAAUCUUCCGCAAUGGGCGAAAGCCUGACGGAGCAACGCCGCGUGAGUGAUGAAGGUCUUCGGAUCGUAAAACUCUGUUAUUAGGGAAGAACAAAUGUGUAAGUAACUAUGUACGUCUUGACGGUACCUAAUCAGAAAGCCACGGCUAACUACGUG